UACAGAGGGGGCAAGCGUUAUUCGGAAUUAUUGGGCGUAAAGGGCGCGUAGGCGGCCAGCGCAAGUCAGUUGUGAAAUCUCCGGGCUUAACUCGGAAAGGUCAACUGAUACUGCGCGGCUAGAGUGCAGAAGGGGCAACUGGAAUUCUCGGUGUAGCGGUGAAAUUCGUAGAUAUUCGGAAGAACACCAGUGGCGAAGGCGGCUCACUGGACCGGUAUUGACGCUGAGGUGCGAAAGCGUGGGGGAGCAAACAGG
rnacentral:rRNA from 1 species